ACAGAUGGAACCAAAUACCUUCUGUGUAUCAACACACUUGGCCAAUAAACCUGAUUCUGAAAAAACUAAAUUGGUGUGUCCCGAGCUUUAAGUUCUUAUACUUCUUUUUGAAACUAGCCUAAUGUAUUUCAUUGGUUAAAUAUGAUGCUACUUUUGAAAAGAGAAUGAAAACACUCGGACUGAGAAUGAGUAUAAAGCACCUCUACUAUACUGUAACAUCUCCUUCCUGAGAUAUUUUAUGGGUGUGGACUUUUAGCGACAACACCAACAGGUUUACAUUAAGGCUCUUGUUCUGACAAGUUUUUAAUUACGGGAGGAGUCUCCAGUACCAAAAGGUGAAGCAUUGCCAUUUUCCAGCAUUUUUAGAAAUCUUUGUGCUGAAGGAUUUAUCGCCGCUAAGACAUAUGGUAGAAGAAGCAGCGACUAAUCCACUAAUCCGGAUCAGUUCGAAUGCGCCGUUUCCGUCUGAAGGCGAAGUCUUUUUUUCGAUCGUUUCCCAAACGUUGUUCAUCCACAGUAAAACAUCUGAAAACGCUUCAUGUCCCCGUUUUUUACGCUUUCAUUUCGAGCCACGUUCUUUCGAAAGAGGCGACUGAAAACGGCGCCCCAGUGUGGACGGACGGCCAUAACGGAGAGAGGGAAAAAAAAGCGCGUUUGGUGUGGAAAUGGAAUCAAAUAAAAACUUUACAAAUGGAAAUGAAAUCAUCCUUAAUGGACACAGAAUCCCCUCUUCACCGCACCGUUUGUUUUUGUUGUUGUUGUUCAACCAACCGCACCCCCUCCACAUGUCCUACUCCUAACACAAGAACCUAACGCUAACGCCACACGUUGCCUCGGAAAGCCGUGAGAAUUUGACCGAACGUGAUUGAUUACUUUGUGGUGUGAUGAAAGCUGGCGGUUUGUGUGGAAUUUACUGAAGAAGACCUUCCUGGCAGCAGAGAUAUGUUACACCCUUUACCAAAAGUCACUCCACUGGUUUCCUGUCACCCUGAAGGCUUUACAAACAGCUCCGAGAUCUAAUAGCAUGUAAUCUACAGAACAUACCACACUUCACACCAACGUCAGAGCCACCAAGCACCAACUAAAAGUACAGUAUAAAAGAAAGACCGUAGUUUUUGUUUUUUUUCCCAUAUUGAGGAUACGUCAUGCCUGGUACCUUCUGGCUCUUCCUUAUUUGUUGUGGUCCAUCCAUGUUUCUUGCUCUCCAUCUCACCCUUUUUGAGCUACUUCUUCCUAAGGAAACCCCUCUCUCCAGCUGAGGAUGUUCUCCACAAGAUCCAUGAGGCUACUAUGGACCAUGGAGAUGGAUUUGGAUUGUAAUUUUCACUGAUGGAACUAUAAUGAAUGGACAUUUGGUGUGACCCAGAAGCCGGUUCCUCUGAAGGUUUCUUCCUUAUUUCGAAGGAGUUAUUUUCCUCCUCACCUUCAGCACUGAAUUCCUGAUGUUUAAAUUGUAUAUAUUUGUAAAUAAUAAUAUACAUUGUACUCUAUUUUAUUCUGAAAAAGCUGCUUUGGGACAAUUUCCAUCGUUAAAAGCGCUGGAUGAUAUACAGAUGUUCCUCAAAAUAAACAAACUACUCAAAAAAUGUGAUAAAUUUAAGAAGCUGUAACUGUAGUUUUGGAUGAAAGCAUCUGAAAAACAGAUGGGAAUGUUUUAAACACACAACAGACGCGCUGUAAACCCGUUCGAUCAACACCGACCAAUCAAAUCUGGUGAAUAUCGGACACGCAAAAUCCGAUCCGUGAUCAAAAAGUCAGAGCAGUGUUUCAUAACUAAUACAGACGAGCUUAUUUUCCUAACUUCCUGUCUCUCUUGUAAGAGUCUCACCGUUUCCUUUCAUUUCAGUUAAACACUCGAUGUCGCAAAUACAGGAAAUGGUUCAGUCGCCACGUUUACCAACUUCUUGUUUUCUUCUCUUUCUUUACAAUAAUACAAAAAGAAAGAGAAAAAAAUUGCAAUAAAAUACGAACCAUCUGUCAUCCUGUAUAAUAUUUAUAGGUUACUCAUUUCUGCUAUUUACAUCCCUCCAAUGAAGCAAAUGCAUAAAUGCUGCUCCACAAACACACGUUUAAUUCUAAUAUACGUUUUAUUUUAUUCCUCAAUUUUUAAUUCUUCAUCACUUGGUUUCUCCGAACACUCUAAGAACUUCUUCUUGCCAAAGUUGUUCUUCACUAGUUUUCUUUCUGGUGAUGAAGUUCAUCCCAAAGCAGUUGAAUAGGAUUUAGGUGCUGUGACUGGGCAGGACAUUCCACCAUGGAUAUCGCUCCAGACGACAGUUUGCUCUCUAAAUAACGUUACCCGAGCUCGGACGUACGUUUCGACACGUUUUCUUGUUGUAUAGUGAAGGUGCAUCCAAUAAACCGCAGUCCAGACGGAAUUCCACUGGGUAUAAAUUAUAUAGUAUGGAAUUGGAGUCAUGAUGGAUCGGGAUCCUAUUUCUGCUCCGAAACGACCUCGAACCAUUCAAACAUCUGAUCACAUCUCUUUAUCUUCCAUAUGUUCUUCUGAGAGAAAAAGUUCAGCCUUCUACAGAACUUUCUUCCAGACUUUCACUGUGUCUGGUUGAUGCCUUUGACCGAGUUUGUUGCAUAGAAACUGAAGAACCUGCGUGACAACACGAAAUUCUUCACUGCAUGUCGGAAUGUUUAUGGAUCUAUAUUACACAUGAACAUUGCAAUGCGAUGCAUGGGGUGGGGAGUGUCUGCACUUCAUCCAUGUCUGAGCUGAGAGAGGAGAAGCUGUGACGAGAAGUUCCUCUACAUGAAACGUAUAACAAGUUGUCAAAAGAUCAAAACAAAUGAAUCGAAUUGAUUAUUCGUGGUCACGAACGAAUGAAUGAACUCAGACUGUGACGUCACGCAGACGCCAAAUCAACCGUGCACCGCAGGAGCGUUGAUGAUGUUCCUCAAACGCACAACACGAGGGUUGUUUUCUCGGUCACGUGAUCACGGGAAAUGCUUGACGUAUCUGAAGAACACGCGUGAAAGUGACACGUCCUGAAGAUUCUGAGCUUCAUGAAGAUCUCAGGAGCAUGUUGGUUGCAGAUGAGAAAUUAAUGAAAGGAGAGACUUCCUGGUGUUUUUCCAUUCGUGCGCAUUCCAGCUCAUUAGCGCCACCUGCGGAUCUGGAGUAGGGCCGAAUCCAAACCAGAGUUUGUAGUGCACUAGAUAGGCAUGUCUCUCCAGCUCUCCAGGAUCUUCUCCACCUGCUCACUACUCUCACCUCAAAAAGUUUCGAGACUAAUGAUGCUUCUACCACGUCUGCGAUUUCAUCACGGACAGCAAGUUAGAGCAACGAGCAAAACGUCAAAUUCGGUGUGAAACUGAGCAAAUACAGACGCAACCCAGGAGUGGCAGGAACGCUGGAGGAGCUGUAUUGCUGUGCAAGGGGACUAUUUUAAAGGUGAUUGAG